GCGGCCACGUUCACCAGGAAACAAAGGCAAGAGUCUCAGGUCUGAGAAAGUCAUCAGCUGCAGAUGGCUUGUGUAACACUGGCUGCCUGACAAAACAAAAUCUAUAAAUAUGUGCUGAGAGGGAACCUGUUUCCAGCGCUCUGCCUCCUUCACCAUGGCCUCUGCGUCCAUCAGCCCAAAGCCAUACAGAGCGAGAGCAAUGAUCCCCGCUGCCAUGGGAGCUGAAGCUGAUGUUCCUGUGUGACUGUCUGUGCAUCGCUGCCUCAGAUCUGUGGUGAUCUAACAAGAAACACAAAGAAAG